rnacentral:lncRNA from 1 species
CUUACGUGGACUCAUCUUUUAAGUCUUAGGAAAAUGGCACUCACACUCCAGGUUGCCUGAGGAAGAGUGUGGAAUGUUAAAGAAGGAACUCAGAGGACUAAAAGAAAGCUUGGUAUUUAGCCUCUGAGAUCAACGUGGGGCGUUUGAAGACAUUAAACACGACAGAGCGGGCAGGGCUCCCUCCAGGGCAGCUGAGCUGAGAGUGACCUGAGAGAGGAGGCUGCAGCAUGCCUCCUGUGACCUGGGCAGAAGACAGGAGACUGAGGGUAUCCA